rnacentral:tRNA from 1 species
GCCCCUGUAGCUCAGUCGGUAGAGCAACGGUUUUGUAAACCGUCGGUCGCGGGUUCGAAUCCAGCCGGGGGCACCA